rnacentral:rRNA from 1 species
GAACCUUACCUGGGCUCGAACGGCUUCGGACAGACCUUGGAAACAGGGUUUUCCCGCAAGGGACUGGAGUCGAGGUGCUGCAUGGCUGUCGUCAGCUCGUGUCGUGAGAUGUUGGGUUAAGUCCCGCAACGAGCGCAACCCUUGUCCUGUGUUGGCAUGCCGAAAGGCGCAACUCUCAGGAGACCGCCAGCGAUAAGUUGGAGGAAGGUGGGGAUGACGUCAAGUCAUCAUGGCCUUUAUGUCCAGGGCCACACACGUGCUACAAUGGGCGGUACAAAGCGCUGCCAACCCGCGAGGGGGAGCUAAUCGCCAAAAACCCGUCCUCAGUUCGGAUUGCAGGCUGCAACUCGCCUGCAUGAAGCUGGAAUCGCUAGUAAUGCUAUAUCAGAACGAUAGCGUGAAUACGUUCCCGGGCCUUGUCACACCGA